rnacentral:rRNA from 1 species
UACGGGAAGGGCAAGCGUUAUCCGGCAUAACUGGGCGUAAAGGGUCCGUAGACGGUAAAGUAAGUUUUUUGUUAAAUUUUAAAACUUAAUUUUAAUCCAACAAUUAAAAUACUGCUUUACUUUGAGUUUAAUACAUGAAAAGUAGAAUUUUAAUAUGAUAGGGGUGAAAUCCGUAGAUAUAUAAAGGAAUGCCAAGAGCGAAGGCAACUUUUUAGUAUAAACUGACGUUGAGGGACGAAAAGUGUGGGGAGCAAACGAGG